UUAUGAUUACCCUGAACGGUGGAUCACUCGGCUCGU
rnacentral:rRNA from 1 species